GUCAGUAUGGCCGAACGGUAAAGGUGACAGAUUUAGAAUCUGUUAGGUAUUCCCAGCAUAAAUUCGAAUCCUCUGGUUGACA